GGAGCCGGUGCUGGUGAACAUGGCGGCGGCCCGGCGGAACACAGCCCGCGGCCGGAGCCGCUAGCGGAACCCCCGGAGGCCGGGAGAACCCCGCGGUGGGCCCGGGGACGAGCGGCUGCAGAAGAAUGUAAAGAAGAAAGCUGUACACCAUACAUACUCUGUGGAGGAGAUGUGAGAGGAGGAGGAUGGGAAGAAGGUAGAGAGAUACAGUGAGCUGAAAACAGCCUAAUUGAUCCUGUGCCCUUCUGAGACUGCAGAAUUUCUCUCAGUCCCUUGGAAGUGAAUGAAUAUUGUUUUUUUCCCCUCUGAUAGUGACAUCAUACUAUUAUGAACAACUUAAAGAAUGCUCAGAUGUUUUCUACCUGUUAAGGAUUUAGGCACUUGAAUGAGUCGUUCUGCAAAUACAGGAAUGAACUUGAGCUCCACAUGGAUGUGUAAUAAUAGUAAUAUGUGGAUAACUAUUCUUUCGAUAACUCAAACAUAAUUCAAACAUCACCUUCCUGUUUUCCACCUAGGACCCCAGAAUGGGAUGCAGUCACAGUACAAAGUGCUUAAGGGAUUUGGCUUACUCGGAGCAGAGCCAAGUCACCAGCUGGUGGUCACCGGCAGUCACAACCUCCCACUCCUUGCAUUGCUCACUUCCAUCCCCAGCUGCUUUCCAACAAUUACCCCUAUUUUAUCCCAGCAAAUCACCAGAAAUGUGUUGCAUCUGCUUCCUCGUAGGUUUAUGCUGUGCCCUUCCAAAUGCAGACAAGAGAACAGCAAUGGCAGUACAUCCUGCAGGAUGUGCACACAGGAGGCACAAAAAUGAAUAAGUGAAUAAAUAAAAGUUGAGAAAAAGUGCCUACCUGGAGAUGUAGAGGCAACUUUGAUUUCUUCCUCACAUUUUAUCUCUGUGGACUGAAUGUACCUACUGAUAGUUUUAGGCUGACUCUUAAUCAUCACUUCUGUUUUAACAGUUGCCCAUCAACUCCUAAGCACUGAACAUAAGUGAAGCCAGGUGUUGGCAUCUCUGCAUUCCCGUACCUACUCAGGGGCAGCACCAAGCAUUUGAUCGGCAGCUUUGUCUUUGAACAUCAGUAAAACACUCCCUCAGGUUUGUCCUCCUUACAUUCUCUGUCACAGGAGCCAGGUUAUUUAUUUCAAAGAAGGCCGGGAUCCUGUGAAAAACAAGAGCAUAUGGUAGGUAGCAUAACCCAGAACUAGAUCCUAAUGCAAACAUAUUAAAAGGGAAUUAGGCAAAUUGAUUCUGAUAUUUCUUAAUUGAUGACACUGAUCUCAGCUUUUAUGUUUAAUGUUCUAUGUUAGUGUUUUAUUUGACUUAGGCAAGACUUCAUGCUUGUAUUACAAAUACACACUUCCAACUGUCUUUGGCUGAGCAGCUCACUGGAUUUUAGCUCACUCAACUGAAGGACAUUAAUUUGCUACAAGGAAAAUCUUCACUAGGAGAGUAGUUAGUCCCUGGAACAGGCUGCCCAGGGAGGUUGUGGAUGCCCCAUCCUUGGAGGUGUUCAAGAUCAGGUUGGACAGGGCCCUGGGCAACCUGAUCUAGUAAAGGUGUAUGUUUGGUGGCCCUGAUAGGCAGGGGGGUUGGAACUACAUGAUCCUUGAGGUCCCUUCCAACCCGGGUCAUUCUGUGUGAAAUCAGGACAGAUCAGUAAGCAUCAGGGAAAUGAUUAGAUUUAAGCAUAGUGCACAUGAUACUUAAUGAAGGAAUCCAUUAGAAGGGCAAAAUAUUAUGUGUAGCACUGUAUAGCAUACAUGGUAAGUAUAGCAACACACUUUGCAUAUCUAUACCCCAUGAUGCACACUAGAGUUCAUGCAUAAGCCAUCUUUUUCAGAUUGAAUUUAUGCCAAGUAGUACCUUUGUGAUCUGGAGUAUGUUGCUUAAUUACCCAAAACACCUAACAGGGAUUGCAAAAGAUUUAAGCCUUUAAAAUGCAGAAGACAACUUACAUUCCUGCAUGUCGGUGUGGCUGUGUUGAAACUGACUGUUAGUAAAAAGUAGAUUUAAAAAAGCCAAAGCCACUUAGAGGAGUGUUUGUUAAGGAUUUUUUUCCCUCCCUGAUACCUAUCCAUAUUUCCCAGACAUCCUCCUCCUCUCACUCCACAUCGUAGUGCAAUCUGUGUUUCACCACAUGGUGUAAAGGUUAUUAAUCUCCCAUGUUUACACUCAGAGGCAAAUCUGUGUUUAAGAGAACACGUGGCCACCCACAUCAUGAUUUUAUCAGGCCGGUAGCUUCCAAAGAAAUGAUAAAGCCUUCGGAAGUUCUUCUCCCCAGUAGCAUUGCUUUGUAUGCAUUUACUUCUAUUUGCACAUGAAGGAAUCAUACAUCUUUUCCCCCUCGGCUAUAAUUACCCAUUCCAAAGAUACUUGCAUUCAUUCAUGUGAUUUCAUUGGAAUACAAUGAUCCCUCAGAAGAACUUGCACAAAGUUAAUGAAUGUUCACCCCAGAAAUGUACUUGCAUGAUAUUUGCAAUAGAAGUCAGUGUGCCUUCAGGAUAGAGGCAUUCCGGGAGGUUUUUUUUUCAUUUAUUUAUUUAAUUUCUCUUAAAAUGUUAACAGUGGCCAAAUUGGAUGCAAAAGAAACCUGUUUCACACAAAGCAUCAUAUUUUGCCCAGCUAGAGCCUUUAAAUUGCGACCAGGAAAAAAAAAAA